AGUUACCAGGAUCUUCAGCAUCCUAUACGUGCCACAGGUAAAGGGUGGGAAGCCAAUUAUAUGCCACAGAAAAUGUCCAAAAUAGGAACAAAAAUCGGGAGAAGUCAGGAAAUGAAGACUUGAAACAUAAAUGAAACUGUGGCAAGACAUUUCAGAAAUUCAAGAUAAAUGAAUUAUGAUGAAAACAUAACAUUUUCCUAAUUCACGUUGACCCACAUGACUAGUAGUUAAAAUGCUACUAGGAAGUUGGGAUAGAACAUGCUAGUU
rnacentral:misc_RNA from 1 species